UACGGGGGGAGCAAGCGUUGUUCGGAUUUACUGGGCGUAAAGGGCGAGUAGGUGGCCAUCUAAGUCAGACGUGAAAUCCCCCGGCUUAACCUGGGAACUGCGUCUGAUACUGGACGGCUUGAGUAUGGGAGAGGAACGUAGAAUUCCAGGUGUAGCGGUGAAAUGCGUAGAUAUCUGGAGGAAUACCGGUGGCGAAGGCGGCGUUCUGGACCAUUACUGACACUGAAUCGCGAAAGCUAGGGGAGCAAACGGG
rnacentral:rRNA from 1 species